rnacentral:rRNA from 1 species
GGGGAAUUUUGGACAAUGGGCGCAAGCCUGAUCCAGCCAUGCCGCGUGCAGGAUGAAGGCCCUCGGGUUGUAAACUGCUUUUGUACGGAACGAAAAGCCUCUUUCUAAUAAAGAGGGGUGAUGACGGUACCGUAAGAAUAAGCACCGGCUAACUACGUGCCAGCAGCCGCGGUAAUACGUAGGGUGCGCGCGUUAAUCGGAAUUACUGGGCGUAAAGCGUUCGCAGGCGGUCUUGCAAGACAGUGGUGAAAUCCCCGGGCUCAACCUGGGAACUGCCAUUGUGACUGCAAGGCUGGAGUACGGCAGAGGGGGAUGGAAUUCCGCGUGUAGCAGUGAAAUGCGUAGAUAUGCGGAGGAACACCGAUGGCGAAGGCAGUCCCCUGGGCCUGUACUGACGCUCAUGCACGAAAGCGUGGGGAGCAAACA